AUACGUAGGUGGCAAGCGUUAUCCGGAAUUAUUGGGCGUAAAGCGCGCGCAGGCGGUUUCUUAAGUCUGAUGUGAAAGCCCACGGCUCAACCGUGGAGGGUCAUUGGAAACUGGGAAGCUUGAGUGCAGAAGAGGAGAGUGGAAUUCCAUGUGUAGCGGUGAAAUGCGUAGAGAUAUGGUGGAACACCAGUGGCGAAGGCGACUCUCUGGUCUGCAACUGACGCUGAGGCGCGAAAGCGUGGGGAGCGAACAGGAUUAGAUACCCUGGUAGUCCACGCUGUAAACGAUGAGUGCUAGGUGUCGGGGGGUCCAACCCUCGGUGCUGUCGCUAACGCAAUAAGCACUCCGCCUGGGGAGUACGGUCGCAAGACUGAA
rnacentral:rRNA from 1 species